GAGUGAUGAAGGUUUUCGGAUCGNNACUCUGUUGCCAGGGAANAACGUCGCGGAGAGUAACUGCUCUGCGAAUGACGGUNCCUGANAAGAAAGCCCCGGCUAACUACNUGCCAGCAGCCGCGGUAAUNCNNNNGNGGCAAGCGUUGUCCGGAAUUAUUGGGCGUAAAGCGCGCGCAGGCGGCCGCUUAAGUCNGGUGUUUAAGCCCGGGGCUCAACCCCGGUUCGCNCUGGAAACUGGGCGGCUUGAGUGCAGGNGAGGAAAGCGGAAUUCCNCGUGUANCGGUGAAAUGCGUAGAGAUGUGGAGGAACACCAGUGGCGAAGGCGGCUUUCUGGCCUGUAACUGACGCUNANGCGCGAAAGCGUGGGGAGCAAACAGGAUUAGAUACCC
rnacentral:rRNA from 1 species